rnacentral:rRNA from 1 species
CACCUGCGCCACGAGUAGCAAUCACGAUUAUUGGGCCUAAAGCGUUCGUAGCCGGAUAUGCCAGUCUUGCGUGAAAUCGAUGCGCUUAACAAAUCGACGUGCGUGAGAUACUACAUGUCUAGGGACCGGGAGGAGUAAGGGGUAUUCCGAAGGGAGCGGUAAAAUGCUAUAAUCUUCGGAGGACCACCUGUGGCGAAGGCGCCUUACUAGAACGGGUCCGACGGUGAGGGACGAAAGCUAGGGGAGCAAACCGG